rfam:Rhodovulum sp. PH10 contig144, whole genome shotgun sequence.
CCUGGUGGUUUUGGCGGGGAGCCUGUACCCGAUCCCAUCCCGAACUCGGCCGUAAAACUCCCCAGCGCCGAUGGUACUGAGUCUCAAGGCUCGGAAGAGUAGGUCGCUGCCAGGC